AUUGAACGCUGGCGGCAUGCCUUACACAUGCAAGUCGAACGGCAGCGGGCCCUUCGGGGUGCCGGCGAGUGGCGAACGGGUGAGUAAUGCAUCGGAACGUACCCGGGAGAGGGGGAUAACCGGCCGAAAGGCUGGCUAAUACCGCAUGAACUCGGAAGAGCAAAGCGGGGGACCUUCGGGCCUCGCGCUCUCGGAGCGGCCGAUGUCCGAUUAGGCUAGUUGGUGGGGUAAAGGCCCACCAAGGCGACGAUCGGUAGCGGGUCUGAGAGGACGAUCCGCCACACUGGGACUGAGACACGGCCCAGACUCCUACGGGAGGCAGCAGUGGGGAAUCUUGGACAAUGGGCGCAAGCCUGAUCCAGCAAUGCCGCGUGGGUGAAGAAGGCCUUCGGGAUGUAAAGCCCUUUCGGCGGGGAAGAAAUCGGUCAGGCGAAUAGUCUGGCCGGAUGACGGUACCCGCAGAAGAAGCACCGGCUAACUACGUG
rnacentral:rRNA from 1 species